rfam:Macaca mulatta chromosome 8, whole genome shotgun sequence.
AGCCCAACAGGAUUCUUAGUAGGCUUUGGUGUUUUUAAGUGAUUGCCUUUUCUUUAUGCU